GAUUACCUCAGUAACGGCGAGUGAAGCGGUAACAGCUCAAAUUUGAAAUCUGGUCCUUUCAGGGCCCGAGUUGUAAUUUGUAGAAGAUGCUUUGGGUGUGGCCCCGGUCUAAGUUCCUUGGAACAGGACGUCAUAGAGGGUGAGAAUCCCGUAUGUGACUGGGUGCUUUCGCCCGUGUAAAGCUCUUUCGACGAGUCGAGUUGUUUGGGAAUGCAGCUCAAAAUGGGUGGUAAAUUUCAUCUAAAGCUAAAUAUUGGCCAGAGACCGAUAGCGCACAAGUAGAGUGAUCGAAAGAUGAAAAGCACUUUGGAAAGAGAGUUAAACAGUACGUGAAAUUGUUGAAAGGGAAGCGCUUGCAACCAGACUCGCAUGCCGUCGAUCAUCCUGGGUUCUCCCUGGUGCACUCGGCGGCGUUCGGGCCAGCAUCGGUUUCGGUGGUGGGAUAAAGGCCUUGGGAACGUAGCUCCUCUCGGGGAGUGUUAUAGCCCUCGGUGCAAUGCCGCCUACCGGGACCGAGGACCGCGCUUCGGCUAGGAUGCUGG
rnacentral:rRNA from 1 species